GCCCCUGUGGCUCAGUGGUAGAGCGCCUGACUACGAAUUUAGGGUUUUUACUCGUCUGUUCGAAUCAGGAGGCC